UACGUAGGGCGCAAGCGUUGUCCGGAAUUAUUGGGCGUAAAGCGCUCGUAGGUGGCUUGUCGCGUCUGCCGUGAAAGCCCGUGGCUUAACUACGGGUCUGCGGUGGAUACGGGCAGGCUAGAGGCUGGUAGGGGCAAGCGGAAUUCCUGGUGUAGCGGUGAAAUGCGCAGAUAUCAGGAGGAACACCGGUGGCGAAGGCGGCUUGCUGGGCCAGUUCUGACGCUGAGGAGCGAAAGCGUGGGGAGCGAACAGG
rnacentral:rRNA from 1 species